UUAAUCUUUAAUUUACGAAACCACCGGCCUUUAUAAAAUUUUAUUUUCCAAGGCACACAAUUAAAUUCCGCUAACUCUAACGUUUCAAAACCUUCCCCUUUAGUAUUUUGGUGUUCACUGUUACUUUUUUAGCAGACGAAAAGUGUGAGAAGAUGAGUUUGGAUUGUUUGGCGAUAUUAUGGGAUUAUUCAAAAUACGUUAGAUAACUUCGGUGAAAUGAUUUCGUGAAUUACUAAAAAAUGUUCCGAAGUCCAACAUUUGUUAAUUUCUUUUUUUUGAAAUUUUAUUAAAUCAAACUAAAAAAUGUUAAACGAUUGGUGGUGUAUUAUGUAGAAAAUAAAACAUUAUGAUAUACUUGGGCCCAACAGAUCCUCAGGUGUAACCUAAAUGGCAAGUUAAG